GUGAACGCUGGCGGUAGGCCUAACACAUGCAAGUCGCACGGCAGCACAGUAAGAGCUUGCUCUUACGGGUGGCGAGUGGCGGACGGGUGAGGAAUACAUCGGAAUCUACUUUUUCGUGGGGGAUAACGUAGGGAAACUUACGCUAAUACCGCAUACGACCUACGGGUGAAAGCAGGGGAUCUUCGGACCUUGCGCGAUUCAAUGAGCCGAUGUCGGAUUAGCUAGUUGGCGGGGUAAAGGCCCACCAAGGCGACGAUCCGUAGCUGGUCUGAGAGGAUGAUCAGCCACACUGGAACUGAGACACGGUCCAGACUCCUACGGGAGGCAGCAGUGGGGAAUAUUGGACAAUGGGCGCAAGCCUGAUCCAGCCAUACCGCGUGGGUGAAGAAGGCCUUCGGGUUGUAAAGCCCUUUUGUUGGGAAAGAAAAGCAGCAGGUUAAUACCCCGCUGUUCUGACGGUACCCAAAGAAUAAGCACCGGCUAACUUCGUG
rnacentral:rRNA from 1 species